AGCGAACGCUGGCGGCAGGCUUAACACAUGCAAGUCGAACGCCCCGCAAGGGGAGUGGCAGACGGGUGAGUAACACGUGGGAACGUACCCUUUGGUUCGGAAUAACUUGGGGAAACUCAAGCUAAUAACGGAUAAGCCCUUAUGGGGAAAGGUUUACUGCCGAAGGAUCGGCGCGCGUCUGAUUAGCUAGUUGGUGAGGUAAUGGCUCACCAAGGCGACGAUCAGUAGCUGGUCUGAGAGGAUGCUCAGCCACACUGGGACUGAGACACCGCCCAGCCCCCUCCGGGAGGCAGCAGUGGGGAAGAUUUGACAAUGGCGGCAACCCUGAUCCAGCCAUGCCGCGUGAGUGAUGAAGGCCUUAGGGUUGUAAAGCUCUUUUACCCGGGACGAUAAUGACUGUACCGGGAGAAUAAGCCCCGGCUAACUUCGUGCCAGCCGCCGCGGUAA
rnacentral:rRNA from 1 species